rnacentral:tRNA from 1 species
GCCCUGGUAGUCUAGCGGUCUAGGAUACAGCCCUGUCAAGGCUGUGACUCGGGUCCGAAUCCCGGCCAGGGCG